rnacentral:rRNA from 1 species
CCUACGGGCGGCAGCAGUCGAGAAUCAUUCACAAUGGGGGAAACCCUGAUGGUGCGACGCCGCGUGGGGGAAUGAAGGUCUUCGGAUUGUAAACCCCUGUCAUGUGGGAGCAAAUUAAAAAGAUAGUACCACAAGAGGAAGAGACGGCUAACUCGGUGCCAGCAGCCGCGGUAAUACAGAGGUCUCAAGCGUUGUUCGGAAUCACUGGGCGUAAGGCGGGCGGAGGCUGUUUCGUAAGUCGUGUGUGAAAGGCGCGGAGUCAACCCGCAGACGGGACAUGAUACUGCGAGACUAGAGGAAUGGAGGGGGAACCGGAAUUCUCGGGGGAGGAGUGAAAUGCG